UCCCUGGUGGUCCAGUGGUUAGGACUCCGCACUGUCACUGCCAGGGCCUAGGUUCGAUCCCUGGUCGGGGAA